rnacentral:misc_RNA from 1 species
GGGUCAUUGAGGGUUGAGGAUGAGGAUUGAUUGGUUGUUGGUAAAGAGGAUGGAAUUAGAUUUAGGGUUGGUGGGAAUGCAAGCGUAGGUUUCAGAGAGGAGUGGCAUAUGUAGAGGAGGUUGAGGAAACGGAGAUUCGAUUUGAAAGGGAAGGUAGAAAUGGAAAAGUGAGAUUGGAGUUGUGCAGUGCACAGAGGAAGAGAAAGGUUAUCACUUGGAGUGAGCUUACAGAAGAGUAAAAGAUAGGAUUUUUUUUAUUUG